UGAGAGAGCUCAAAACAGAAAUAACUAAGAAGAAAUACUGGAGUAGCCUACUGUGAGAGAAGAAGAUUUCCAGGAGCUGCUGUGGUGGUCCAUGUGGCAAAGGGAUGGCACGAAACUUUGGAGACAAAAUGCAGGAUGGAAAAACAUAUAAAGAAGAAAGGCUCAGCGUAGACCUCAGUGACAUGCUAUUGACUGAAGGCAAGAGAAUGGGAGGUCAAUCCCUCUGACAGGACUUCAAGAAAAUAAUACUCAAGGCCAAUCCACAAAGUAGUAUUCUUGUGCAGCUGUAAUGUAACAAUUAAAAGAUAAGCUGUUUGAAGAUUGAGCAGCCAAGAAAAAUCAAAUUGAGAAAGAACGAAAUGGUCCAGAACAGCAAAACACGAUGAGCCAUGAUACAAACGUGUUCAUUGUUUCUUUGACAUCUUGAAAACGCCAAUUCCGAAACAUGAGCAAGUUUUAAAU
rnacentral:lncRNA from 1 species